UACAGAGGGGGCAAGCGUUAUUCGGAAUUAUUGGGCGUAAAGGGCGCGUAGGCGGAUCUUUAAGUCGGGGGUGAAAGCCUGUGGCUCAACCACAGAAUUGCCUUCGAUACUGGGGAUCUCGAGACCGGAAGAGGUGAGUGGAACUGCGAGUGUAGAGGUGAAAUUCGUAGAUAUUCGCAAGAACACCAGUGGCGAAGGCGGACUCACUGGUCCGGUUCUGACGCUGAGGCGCGAAAGCGUGGGGAGCAAACAGG
rnacentral:rRNA from 1 species